UGCCAUCAAUGUCUCCCAGCAAAUCUUCCUCCAGCUGCAGGCUCCAAGGCAUGAGGGAAAGUGCUCAAUCUAGAGGUCAGAGUGGGCCACACGCUUCAGUAAACCAGGCUGAGAACAAACAGGUCAAUGUCCUGGGAGGCUCUUCUUACAAAACUUGGCUAUGCAGGAACAGGGAUGACCCUGCCUCUGCAGAGCACACUGGGACAUCUCCAGGGGACCUGGGGCUUGUCCAUUUAGGAAUUUUUAGGGUCUAAUAAGACUCUUCUAUAGCCAGUCUUGGCCCCAGGAAGAGAGAGACAAAUAAGGUUAGGAAGGGCUGAAAAUCUCUGGGGCUCAGACAGAACUGUGGAGGACCAAGGUGCGCUUUGAGUCUGAAGACAUCGGCUCAAACAAAUCGGGGAAGGAAAGUGGAGAUGUGACGGCCAAGGGUUAAAGAAGUCUGAGGACAGGUGAAUGCUGAGGGAGGGGAAUCAGUCUGCAUUGUGUGAGAAGGAUGAUCACCGAAGCAGAUGAGGAUGGACGGGCAUUGGGAUUCUGAAUCAGAAAAACCUUGGCUUGAGAACUGGUGCCACUACUUCCUGUAUCUUGGGCAAAACAACUCGGUUCACAAAGCCACUUCUCACUGCUGGCCAGGAGUAAAUAGCGACCCCUUUGCUGCCCUCUUAAUGCAUGCCAGACACCGCUAAACGUUUCACGUGCCCUUGCUCGGAUGCAAUUUUUUAGAAGACAAAUUUCAUUGUUGCUGUGAUAGAGGAGAAUGGGAGCAUUACUGGUGAUAGUGCGAAAGCGCAACGCACGGCGUCUAAUUAGAUGCGGAAAGUCAGACUCGGAGGGUUUAGUACUUCCAGCAACGAGAAUGGCUAACCUUCAGGAAGGACUGGGGAUUUAGCAAUCAGAGAAAAGCUGGACAACCUAGCGCAGCCGCUGUGAUUGUUCACAAGUGUUUGGUUUGGGGGCGCCAGGUGGGGCUUUAUGGAUUGAGAGAUCCUUCAGCUGUUGUUGAUACUGCCUCCAAGCUAAGACUCCUCGUCCCAGCCUUGACUCUGUAUUUACAAAGACAAGAGGUCAGUCGACGCCCCGAGAAUCCAGGUGCCUCACUGCUCCGAGAAGGCGGAGCCCACCGCAGGGCGGGGGGAAGAUGGAAUUCUCCCUCCAAGGCCAAGGACGCCGAAGCUCUACUCUGCCUCUGUGGUUGGGGGAGGCGCCGGGCCUUCCUCCUCGGCCCCGCCUCUCAAGGCUGGCGCAUACUUCUAAGCCCCGCCCUCGCCACAUCCAUCCGUCCCGGGCAGGCCCCUGCCGAGCUCCUUCUCGCCGCUCAAAGGCACCCUUCCUUCGAAGCCCCGCCCCUCGCAACC
ensembl:lncRNA